UCUACAUAAAACCUAAAAAGCUCAUUCACUUCUACGCUUCUUCUCUCUCGUUGCUUCUUCAAUCAUCAUCUUUUCUACAUAAACUCUGAAAAGCUCAUUCAUCUUCUAUGCUUAUUCUCUCUUGAUGCAACGCUUCUUCAGUUUCAUGGUUUUUGAGCAUAUGACCGGGCCAAAUUUGAGUUUUUGAUUUUGUGUUGGCACGUAUUCAAAAAAUCAGGUUCAAUUCGGUUUCGCAUUGCCGACUAUCAGAUGGCUCGAGCCUCCCAGUCUGUGUUGAAAAGGGUAUCCGAAUUUGCUGGUUAUCCUUUGUCGGAUGUGAAAUCGGAUAUUCAGAUUGUGGCUGAUGUCACUCAGUUUGGAUUUGUGCUGCGGAAUAUGCCGCUUCCUAAGAACAUCACUCUCUACUGAUGGAUGGAAGUGUCCCAAAGCUAUUCAAAAAGCUAAAGUUCAGGAUCAACAUCAAUUGUGAUGGUUUGAGGAUUGAAUCUUGGAGGUUUGAUUUUGGUUUAAUGGUAACUACGAAUCUGUGGGAUUUGAACUGUGUGUACCAGGAGGUUAAUCGGAAGGAUCAACAGUUGAUGUUGCAGCAAAACAGUGUAUGAUGUCACAUAGUAAUGAUAUUGGUGGAAGUGUGAGACACCAAGCUUCGUUUUGUGGUGUUGUUGGUCUUAAGCCUACUUAUGGGUGUCUAGGUUUGGUCUUAUGGCUUAUGCUUCUUCAUUGGAUAUGAUUGGGUGUUUUGAGUCUCUAUGAUUAUUGAUGUUAGGAUGACCUUCAUGAAAAAUACUUAGGAAUGACUUUUAGCAAUUUAGGAAGGAUUCAAUAAUACUUAGGAAUGACUUUUAGCAAUUUAGGAUGACCUUCAUGAAUAAAUCUCAUAAUGGUUGUAAAAAAUAAAUGAGGGAUUCAGUUAUAUUCAGGAAUGAUUCAAUAAUAUUAGUCCAUAUGUUUGUCAAGUAGAAUGUUUUCACAAUUUUUACAUUUGGGAAAGAUACUUUAAUGUUUACGUUUCUUGUAUAUAGAUAUUUAAUGUUAUAUUUAUAUCGAA